AGUAAAGAUUUUAAGGGCGUACGGUGGAUGCCUUGGCGAUAUCAGCCGAAGAAGGACGCGGUAAGCUGCGAUAAGCUACGGAGAGGUGCAAGCAACCUUUGACCCGUAGAUUUCCGAAUGGGGGAACCCGGCAGUGGUUAUGCACUGUCACCCAUACCUUUGAGUAUGAGGAGGGCACCUGGGGAACUGAAACAUCUAAUUACCCAGAGGAAGAGUAAUCAAACGAGAUUUUCUUAGUAGCGGCGAGCGAACGGGAAAGAGGCCAAACCGGAGCGGGCAACCGCACCGGGGUUGAGGACAGUCAUCAAGUGUAAAUGAGGUAGAAGAAUCGAGUUGGAAAGCUCAGCCGCAGAAGGUGAAAGCCCUGUAAUCGAAACCUUGCAUACAUGGGACUGUAUCCAGAGUACCACGAGACACGUGAAACCUUGUGGGAAGCAGGGGGGACCACCCUCCAAGCCAAAAUACUGAUAUCGACCGAUAGCGCAUAGUACCGUGAGGGAAAGGUGAAAAGAACCCCUGGCGGGGAGUGAAAGAGAACCUGAAACCGUAUGUCUACAAACAGUCGAAGUCUGUAUAUAUAUCAGGACGACGGCGUGCCUAUUGAAGAAUGAACCGACGAGUUACUGUUGCUAGCGAGGUUAAGUGGAAAACAUGGAGCCGCAGCGAAAGCGAGUCUGAACAGGGCGUUCAGUUAGUGAUAGUAGACCCGAAACCGUAGUGAUCUAUCCAUGGCCAGGUUGAAGCACAGGUAAAAUUGUGUGGAGGACCGAACUCGUGAGCGUUGAAAAGCUUUGGGAUGAGUUGUGGAUAGGGGUGAAAUGCCAAUCGAACACGGAGAUAGCUGGUUCUCCCCGAAAUAGCUUUAGGGCUAGCCUCGAGGUUGAGAGUAUAGGCGGUAGAGCACUGAUCGGGCUAGGGGCCAUACCGGUUACCGAACCUAGUCAAACUACGAAUGGCUAUACUUAUACUCGGGAGUCAGACAGUGAAUGAUAAGGUCCAUUGUCAAGAGGGAAACAGCCCAGAACACCGACUAAGGUCCCCAAUGUCAUACUAAGUGGCGAAGGAUGUGGAAUUUCCAAAACAACCAGGAUGUUGGCUUAGAAGCAGCCACCAUUUAAAGAGUGCGUAAUAGCUCACUGGUCGAGAGACUCUGCGCCGAAAAUGUCCGGGGCUAAAGUAUGAAACCGAAGUCGUGUCAUAUGCAGCAAUGUAUAUGGGUAGGGGAGCGUUCUCAUCGGAUUGAAGCAGUACCGUAAGGAGUUGUGGACUGGUGAGAAGUGAGAAUGUCGGUAUGAGUAGCGAAAAGAAUGGUGCGUCGUCUCAGGGUAAGUCGGGACCUAAGCCGAGGCGGAAAAGCGUAGGCGAUGGACAACAGGUUGAAAUUCCUGUACCGGUGUGAAUCGUUUGAUCGAAGGAGUGACACAGUAAGGUAGGUCAGCACGCGAUUGGAAGUGCGUGUUUAAGCAUGUAGGUUGAGUUAUAGGCAAAUCCGUAACUCUAAAAGCUGAGAUGUGAUGACGAGCUGUUUACAGCGAAGUGAUUGAUCCUACACUGUCGAGAAAAGCUUCUAGGUAGAGACACAUCGCCCGUACCAAAACCGACACAGGUAGGCGGGGAGAGAAUCCUAAGGUGCGCGGGAAAACCCUCGUUAAGGAACUCGGCAAAAUGCCUCCGUAACUUCGGGAAAAGGAGGACUCAUGUAGUGUGAAGGGCAGUAACGCGUGGAGCAUGAAUGAGUGGCACAAGAGAGGCGCAAGCGACUGUUUACCACAAACACAGGUGCCUGCUAAAGCGAAAGCUGAUGUAUAGGUGCUGACACCUGCCCGGUGCUGGAAGGUUAAGAGGAGGGGUUAGACUUCGGUCGAAGCUCUGAAUUGAAGCCCCAGUAAACGGCGGCCGUAACUAUAACGGUCCUAAGGUAGCGAAAUUCCUUGUCGGGUAAGUUCCGACCCGCACGAAAGGUGUAACGACUUGCGCACUGUCUCAACGAGGGACCCGGUGAAAUUGAAGUACCUGUGAAGAUGCAGGUUACCCGCGACUGGACAGAAAGACCCCAUGGAGCUUUACUGCAACCUAAGAUUGAACUUAGUUAAUGAAUGUACAGGAUAGGUGGGAGACUUAGAAUCUAGGGCGCCAGUCUUAGAGGAGUCGUUGUUGGGAUACCACCCUUUGAUUAAUUGAUUUCUAACAGGCCGAUUAACAACCGGCUGGACAGUCUUAGGCGGGCAGUUUGACUGGGGCGGUCGCCUCCUAAAGAGUAACGGAGGCGCCCAAAGGUUCCCUCAGAGCGGACGGAAAUCGCUCGAAGAGUGUAAAGGCAGAAGGGAGCUUGACUGCGAGACGGACAGGUCGAGCAGGGACGAAAGUCGGGCUUAGUGAUCCGGUGGUGCCGAGUGGAAGGGCCAUCGCUCAACGGAUAAAAGCUACCCUGGGGAUAACAGGCUAAUCUCUCCCAAGAGUCCAUAUCGACGGGGAGGUUUGGCACCUCGAUGUCGGCUCAUCACAUCCUGGGGCUGAAGUAGGUCCCAAGGGUUCGGCUGUUCGCCGAUUAAAGUGGUACGUGAGCUGGGUUCAGAACGUCGUGAGACAGUUCGGUCCCUAUCCAUCGCGGGCGCAAGAAACUUGAAGGGGGCUGCUCCUAGUACGAGAGGACCGGAGUGGACGAACCGCUGGUGUACCAAUUAUCCUGCCAAGGGUACAGUUGGGUAGCUACGUUCGGGACGGAUAAACGCUGAAAGCAUCUAAGCGUGAAACCAGCCUUGAGAUGAGGUUUCUCAUAGCAUAAGCUAGUAAGAUCCCAUGUAGACGACAUGGUUGAUAGGCCAGGUGUGGAAGAGCCGUGAGGUUUGGAGCUGACUGGUACUAAUAGAUCGAGGGCUUUACUUA
rnacentral:rRNA from 1 species